rnacentral:pre_miRNA from 1 species
CCCCCCUCUUCCAGAUGACAACCCUCGCAUGACUCCUCCAAGUCUUGGAGUAGGUCAUUGGGUGGAUCCUUUAUUUCCCUAUGUGGGCCACUGGAUGGCUCCUCCAUGUCUUGGCGGAGGUCAAUGGACUGCU